AGCCCUCCGAUUGGCUGCCAGCACUUUGACGAAUGGCCAAUUGGCAAUAACAAUAACAAAAGUGAGAGCUCACCUGCAGGAUCCGGUUGUUGUUUGAUGAGGCCUACUGCGAUUUCAACGCAAACUUUCAGCUACUUGGAUGACGCGUCACCACUAAGAAAUUUUCCACUAAAACAACACACAAUCACCGGAAUCAACCGCGCGCGGACGAAGGCGCUUGCCAAAAGUUGGCGCGGAAGCAGGGUUGGUGGCCAAUAGGCGGCUCGGUCUCGCCGUGGCCUCUGAUUGACCAGAAAUAUGCCCAAUAGAAACGCCAGCGACCACUUGAUUGGCUGGCUUGGCGUAGAAGUGAGCGUGUGCGUGUGAGUGUGUGUUUGGUUUCUUCUUUCAGCUCCGUUUGACAGGUAACUCACGCGCGUUGAGUGGCGCACGCGGAGUGGGAGCGAGGUGUUUACCUAGUCGAGUUAAGAAAAUUGCCAAUAAAUCUCUUCAAACAGUUCGAAGUUUGAAAAACUUCAGUAAAAAGUUUACAAAAAAAAUGGUUGAAGUGUGUAAAAAACACCCUUUUUCGACAAUCUUGCCUUGAGUUACCAACGCUUGGAAGGAUCAUGGUUUAUUCCUUUGAAAACGGGUCGGCGCCGAAUGGAACUCAAUCAGUUAUUCGACAGCAACUCGAACAAGUAUGAACCUGUUGAUAAGUUGUCAAAACCAAAGGAUUUUGUAAAAAUCUCUUCAGCUGGACGACUAAAUGAUUUUAAGAUUUUCAACUUUCAAACGCAGUCAUAAAGAAAAAAACAAACGCUUACACAGCAAACUUAGGUUAGCUUCAAGCAUUACCCAAGCGUUUGUGCUCCUACCGAGUAAAAGCUCAUUCAUGGAUGAAAGCUUGCAGCAGCUAAGCUUGGUAAGCAUUUUGCCUGGUUUGUGCAUUGGCUUGUUAUUCAGUUUGAAACGUUUGAAGAUUAAUGUGUGACCCUGUUCUAUCGUUGUCUGGAUUCCAACUCAGGAAACGGCCAAUACGGGCAAUCGCUGCAGACUCCGAUUUGAACUUAAAUACCGGCAGCGAUCAAGAAAACUCCAUCUUCGAGGCCGACAACGGAAAAGUAUUUUGUGUUGUAAAUAUAUCUCAGAUUGUGAUGAUAGUGACUGUGAUGAUUGUGAUUGUGAUCUUAGAUUGUGUUGUUCUAACACAUAAAAUUCCAUCGAAAUUU